AUUGAACGCUGGCGGCAGGCUUAACACAUGCAAGUCGAACGUUUGGCGGACGUGUGAGUAAUGCUUGGGAAUCUAGCUUAUGGAGGGGGAUACCUAUGGGAACCUUUAGCUAAUACCGCUUACCAUAGGAUGAGCCCAAGUGGGAUUAGGUAGUUGGUGAGGUAAAGGCUCACCAAGCCGACGAUCCCUAGCCGUUCUGAGAGGGUGACCAGCCACACUGGGACUGAGACACGGCCCAGACUCCUACGGGAGGCAGCAGUGGGGAAUAUUGCGCAAUGGGGGCAACCUGACACAGCCAUGCCGCGUGAAUGAAGAAGGCCUUCGGGUUGUAAAGUUCUUUCGGUAGAGAGGCGUUAACUACAGAAGAAGCAACGGCUAACUCCGUGCCAGCAGCCGCGGUAAUUC
rnacentral:rRNA from 1 species